AAUGAACGCUGGCGGCGCGCCUAAUACAUGCAAGUCGAGCGAGAAGACGUAGCAAUACGUUUGUAAAGCGGCGAACGGGUGAGGAAUACAUGGGUAACCUACCCUCGAGUGGGGAAUAACUAGCCGAAGGUUAGCUAAUACCGCGUACGCUUCUUGGACUUCGGUUCAGGGAGGAAAGCGAUACCGUGGGUAUCGCGCUCUUGGAUGGGCUCAUGUCCUAUCAGCUUGUUGGUGAGGUAACGGCUCACCAAGGCUUCGACGGGUAGCUGGUCUGAGAGGACGAUCAGCCACACUGGCACUGCGACACGGGCCAGACUCCUACGGGAGGCAGCAGUAAGGAAUAUUGCGCAAUGGGCGAAAGCCUGACGCAGCGACGCCGCGUGGGGGAU
rnacentral:rRNA from 1 species